AAAGAUUCUUGCAGAGGCACAGAUGACUGCCACACAAACAGAGGAGCGGAGGUCCCGCAUGGCCGCCGCAGAUAAGAGAAAUAAGCAAAGGCCACGUUGCACGUCGUCGCUUGGCGAUGGCCGUCCGCGGCCCGGCAACGUUCCGCGUGUCCGAGAGACAACGAGGCGCGGCGACGAGACGCACGUUUGCCCCGCUUCAAAACAAAGCUGUUCACAGAAGUCACUGAGCAACAAGCGCGGCGAGUGUAGGACGGCGUCGUGGAGUUCCCUCGUCGGCGGGUGGGAUUCCCUUCUGUUUACCCCCCCACUUCCGGUCCAGCGAGGAAGCAUGAAAACACUCUGCGACUCCCCUGGCAGGAAACAUGAGUCACAUCGCGACCUUCUGCCAAACCCUCUGCACGGGGGGGGCAUAUAAAUGCUCCAAGAACAACACCAACGCGCAUUCAAUAGUUCAGACAUUUCACCUAAAAACAUGCAUUUACAGCAAUGUGGUGUAAAUUUACACUAAUAUAGUGUAAAUGUUCUGGAGAUAAACUUAUUUAAGGUGAAAUAACUUCACGAGUACUAAAUCAGUAAUGGAAUAGUUUUGAUGUCGAUCCAUCUCAUAGUUAUUAAGAGGCUCUGUUUGGAUCAGAUCGGCUGCUAAAAAGACUUCAGACGAAAAGGAGGAUUUGUUUCUACGUUUGUAAAUCCAUUUCUGUCUCUACUCUGCUCUCGACUUUGCCGCAGUGUAUAAAGCUCCGACUGAGU
ensembl:lncRNA